rnacentral:tRNA from 1 species
GGUGGCUCAGUGGUAGAGUGCUUGCUUAGCAUGCAUGAGGCUCUGGGUUCAAUUCCUCAGCACCA